rnacentral:tRNA from 1 species
GCCUUCGUGGUGUAGUGGUCUGCAUUCUCGAUGCGUAACCGAGAGGUCCGUGGUUCGAUUCCCGGCGAAGGCG